rnacentral:rRNA from 1 species
CGUGUAGGCGGCCGGAUGUGUCAGAUGUGAAAGCCCUGGGCUUAACCCAGGAAGUGCAUUUGAAACUGUUCGGCUUGAGUAGGGGAGAGGGAAGUGGAAUUCCUGGUGUAGAGGUGAAAUUCGUAGAUAUCAGGAGGAACACCGGUGGCGAAGGCGACUUCCUGGCCCUAUACUGACGCUGAGACGCGAGAGCGUGGGUAGCAAACA